rnacentral:tRNA from 1 species
GGUGGCUCAGUGAUAGAGUGCUUGCCUUGCAUGCAUGAGGCCCUGGGUUUGAUUCCCCAGCACCA